GACGCACUUUGGCGGCGUGCUUAACACAUGCAAGUCGAACGGUAAGGCUCCAGCUUGCUGGGGUACACGAGUGGCGAACGGGUGAGUAACACGUGGGUGACCUGCCCUGCACUUCGGGAUAAGCCUGGGAAACUGGGUCUAAUACCGGAUAGGACCGCACCGUGAGGGUGUGGUGGAAAGUUUUUUCGGUGUGGGAUGGGCCCGCGGCCUAUCAGCUUGUUGGUGGGGUAAUGGCCUACCAAGGCGGCGACGGGUAGCCGGCCUGAGAGGGUGGACGGCCACAUUGGGACUGAGACACGGCCCAGACUCCUACGGGAGGCAGCAGUGGGGAAUAUUGCACAAUGGGCGGAAGCCUGAUGCAGCGACGCCGCGUGGGGGAUGACGGCCUUCGGGUUGUAAACUCCUUUCACCAUCGACGAAGGGUUUCUGACGGUAGAUGGAGAAGAAGCACCGGCUAACUACGUGCCAGCAGCCGCGGUAAUACGUAGGGUGCGAGCGUUGUCCGGAAUUACUGGGCGUAAAGAGCUCGUAGGUGGUUUGUCGCGUCGUCUGUGAAAUUCCGGGGCUUAACUCCGGGCGUGCAGGCGAUACGGGCAUAACUUGAGUACUGUAGGGGAGACUGGAAUUCCUGGUGUAGCGGUGAAAUGCGCAGAUAUCAGGAGGAACACCGGUGGCGAAGGCGGGUCUCUGGGCAGUAACUGACGCUGAGGAGCGAAAGCAUGGGGAGCGAACAGGAUUAGAUACCCUGGUAGUCCAUGCCGUAAACGGUGGGCGCUAGGUGUGGGUUUCCUUCCACGGGAUCCGUGCCGUAGCUAACGCAUUAAGCGCCCCGCCUGGGGAGUACGGCCGCAAGGCUAAAACUCAAAGGAAUUGACGGGGGCCCGCACAAGCGGCGGAGCAUGUGGAUUAAUUCGAUGCAACGCGAAGAACCUUACCUGGGCUUGACAUAUACAGGAUCGCGCCAGAGAUGGUGUUUCCCUUGUGGCUUGUAUACAGGUGGUGCAUGGUUGUCGUCAGCUCGUGUCGUGAGAUGUUGGGUUAAGUCCCGCAACGAGCGCAACCCUUGUCUUAUGUUGCCAGCACGUUGUGGUGGGGACUCGUAAGAAACUGCCGGGGUUAACUCGGAGGAAGGUGGGGAUGACGUCAAAUCAUCAUGCCCCUUAUGCCCAGGGCUUCACACAUGCUACAAUGGUCGGUACAGUGGGUUGCCAGUCCGUGAGGGCGAGCUAAUCCCGCAAAGCCGGUCUCAGUUCGGAUCGGGGUCUGCAACUCGACCCCGUGAAGUCGGAGUCGCUAGUAAUCGCAGAUCAGCAACGCUGCGGUGAAUACGUUCCCGGGCCU
rnacentral:rRNA from 1 species